AUGGCCUUUCCUCCGACGGCCGCCAACUCCUCCCCUGCCCUUGAGGACAGAGCACGACGAUGCAAUAGUGUGGAAAAACUCGUCCAGCAAGUGCUCUCAGUCGUAUUCAUGGCCGGUGCUUGGAACAUAAACAAGCUACACUCUUGGUGGGUUUUGAUUGCAUCAUAUAGAGCAAAAACAAUCCCAAACAAAUUUAAAAAACAUUGGCUUCUUGAUAUUAAAUUAAACACAAAAUAG